rnacentral:lncRNA from 1 species
GGAAAUACAAUAAACGUAAAACAACAAUUUACAACUUAUACUACUGAUCCAAAACAACCAACUCCAUUCUUGAUUCCACUAGCAUCGUCCAAACGGCAACAAAUUCAAUGAUAAACUUGGAUUUUAAAAGGUAUUCGGUCUCUAGAAAGCUCACACCAUACUCCCAAUGAACAAAUGAACCACGAAACACUAGCGGAAAGAACCAAACCCAAUGGAAGAACCAAACCAUGUUGCUACACCUACAAGAAGGAAAACUC